rnacentral:misc_RNA from 1 species
ACAUUUACAACCAAAUCUGGUUAGUAGCUAUAUCAUGAUUAUCUUUUUAUUAUUUUAUUUAAAUUUGAUAUGUUCUUCUGAGAACAAAGUACUGUCUUAAUUAAACAAGUAAUAAUUGUGGAUUCCCUUAGACCAGAAGUUUUGAAAAAUAUAUUUGAUAAGGUGCUGUUUUAUGGGUUGGCAGGUAAGAAAGUUAGCAAAG